rnacentral:rRNA from 1 species
AUUGAACGCUGGCGGCAGGCCUAACACAUGCAAGUCGAGCGGAUGAAGGGAGCUUGCUCCUGGAUUCAGCGGCGGACGGGUGAGUAAUGCCUAGGAAUCUGUCUGGUAGUGGGGGAUAACGUCAGGAAACGGGCGCUAAUACCGCAUACGUUCUGAGGGAGAAAGUGGGGGAUCUUCGGACCUCACGCUAUCAGAUGAGCCUAGGUCGGAUUAGCUAGUUGGUUGGGUAAAGGCCUACCAAGGCGACGAUCCGUAACUGGUCUGAUAGGAUGAUCGGUCACACUGGAACUGAGACACGGUCCAGACUCCUACGGGAGGCAGCAGUGGGGAAUAUUGGGCAAUGGGCGAAAGCCUGACCCAGCCAUGCCGCGUGUGUGAAGAAGGUCUUCGGAUUGUAAAGCACGUUAAGUUGGGAGGAAGGGCAGUAGGUUAAUACCUUGCUGUUUUGACGUUACCAACAGAAUAAGCACCGGCUAACUACGUG